rnacentral:tRNA from 4 species
AGGGCUAUAGCUCAGUUGGUAGAGCACCUCGUUUACACGUGCGCCAAUACCGAGAAGGUCUACGGUUCGAGUCCGUAUAGCCCUA